UCCAGGGCCACUCCUGUCUGAGGGCCGGCU
rnacentral:rRNA from 1 species